rnacentral:rRNA from 1 species
CAGACGGGUGAGUAACACGUGGGAACGUACCCUUCGGUUCGGAAUAACUCAGGGAAACUUGUGCUAAUACCGGAUACGAUCGCGAGAUGAAAGAUUUAUCGCCGAAGGAUCGGCCCGCGUCUGAUUAGCUAGUUGGUGAGGUAAUGGCUCACCAAGGCGACGAUCAGUAGCUGGUCUGAGAGGAUGACCAGCCACAUUGGGACUGAGACACGGCCCAAACUCCUACGGGAGGCAGCAGUGGGGAAUAUUGGACAAUGGGCGCAAGCCUGAUCCAGCCAUGCCGCGUGAGUGAUGAAGGCCUUAGGGUUGUAAAGCUCUUUUACUCGGGAAGAUAGUGACGGUACCGAGAGAAUAAGCCCCGGCUAACUUCGUG